rnacentral:rRNA from 1 species
GUCGAGCGGCGGACGGGUGAGUAAUGCCUAGGAAAUUGCCCUCGAUGUGGGGGAUAACCAUUGGAAACGAUGGCUAAUACCGCAUAAUGCCUACGGGCCAAAGAGGGGGACCUUCGGGCCUCUCGCGUCAGGAUAUGCCUAGGUGGGAUUAGCUAGUUGGUGAGGUAAUGGCUCACCAAGGCGACGAUCCCUAGCUGGUCUGAGAGGAUGAUCAGCCACACUGGAACUGAGACACGGUCCAGACUCCUACGGGAGGCAGCAGUGGGGAAUAUUGCACAAUGGGCGCAAGCCUGAUGCAGCCAUGCCGCGUGUGUGAAAAAAGCCUCUUCGGUUGUGAAAGCACUUUCCAUCCUGAGGAAGGGGAGGGUAAUUAAUAAGCUGCAUUAUUUUACGUUUACGACAGAAAAAACCCCCCGCUAAAAUUCCUGGCCCCCACCCCGCGGUAAUUACGAAGGGGGGGAACGGUUAUUCGAAUUUACUGGGGGCUAAAACGCAUGGGGGGGGGUUUUUUUUAAUCCCAAAAUGGAAAAACGGGGGUUAAACCUUGAAAAAAAUUUUUUAAAUGGGGGAAUAAAAUAAUGGAGAGGGGGGUAGAAAUUCUCAAGUUGUAAGCAGUGAAAUGCGUUAAAGAACUGAAAAAAAAACGUUGGCGAAAAGGGGGCCGCCCCGCUGGACAAGAUACUGACACUGCAGAUGCGAAAACCUGCGCGGGGAGCAAACACCAUUAGAUAACCCUCGUAGUACACACCGUACAACAAUGUCUACCUUCGACGGUUGUGGCUCUCUCACCCCCCCCCCUUCGAAGCUAACGCGCGCGGUUAAGUAGACAGCGCCUGCGGAGAGUACGGUCGCAAGAUUAAAACUCAAAUGAAUUGACGGGGGCCCGCACAAGCGGUGGAGCAUGUGGUUUAAUUCGAUGCAACGCGAAGAACCUUACCUACUCUUGACAUCCAGAGAACUUUCCAGAGAUGGAUUGGUGCCUUCGGGAACUCUGAGACAGGUGCUGCAUGGCUGUCGUCAGCUCGUGUUGUGAAAUGUUGGGUUAAGUCCCGCAACGAGCGCAACCCUUAUCCUUGUUUGCCAGCGAGUAAUGUCGGGAACUCCAGGGAGACUGCCGGUGAUAAACCGGAGGAAGGUGGGGACGACGUCAAGUCAUCAUGGCCCUUACGAGUAGGGCUACACACGUGCUACAAUGGCGCAUACAGAGGGCAGCAAGCUAGCGAUAGUGAGCGAAUCCCAAAAAGUGCGUCGUAGUCCGGAUUGGAGUCUGCAACUCGACUCCAUGAAGUCGGAAUCGCUAGUAAUCGUGGAUCAGAAUGCCACGGUGAAUACGUUCCCGGGCCUUGUACACACCGCCCGUCACACCAUGGGAGUGGGCUGCAAAAGAAGUAGGUAGUUAACCUUCGGGAGGACGCUACC